rnacentral:rRNA from 1 species
UACGUAGGGUGCAAGCGUUGUCCGGAAUUAUUGGGCGUAAAGAGCUCGUAGGCGGCUUGUCGCGUCGGCUGUGAAAACCUGGGGCUCAACCCCGGGCCUGCAGCCGAUACGGGCAAGCUAGAAUUCGGUAGGGGAGACUGGAAUUCCUGGUGUAGCGGUGAAAUGCGCAGAUAUCAGGAGGAACACCGGUGGCGAAGGCGGGCCUCUGGGCCGAUAUUGACGCUGAGGAGCGAAAGCGUGGGGAGCGAACAGG